rnacentral:tRNA from 1 species
GAGGAUGUAGCUUAGUGGUAAAGCACUUGCCAAGAAUGUACAAGUCCCUGGGUUCAACCCCCAGAACCAUUA